rnacentral:tmRNA from 1 species
GGGGGUGAACGGUUUCGACUUCGGUGGUCGAUCCAGGAGAAGCGAGCCGAGGGUGGCGGUUGUGACCUCGUAAAUAAUGCGACCGUAACCAAUAGGUGCCAACUCUAAGAGCACUGUGCCUGCUUCCAAGCAGGCUCUCGCCCUCGCCGCCUAAGGCGAAGUAGCGAGAACUGUCAGCCCGGGAGUGCCUUCGGCCCGGAACUGGCAUCAGCUAGAAGGCUCACUAGCCGGCCCGGCCGCGGGGCAGGCUAGGAAAUCAAACAGUGGCUGAGCCCGUCGGCGUCUCGCCUGCGUGAUCGCCGGGGCUGAGAAAAGCAAAUGCAGGCUGCGCUCGGAGAAGUCCUGGUGAGGUACUGAAGGACCCGGGUUCGAUUCCCGGCACCUCCAA